rnacentral:lncRNA from 1 species
GUCACUUGCAUUACACACUUACAGUAUUGCUGAGUUAGAUUCCAGCUGUGCAACGCUGUGGCCUAUUCAUGAGUCCAAGAACACAGCAAAGCACACACAGCAAGGGAUCUCAACUGUUGAACAAGUAUGAAUAUCCCUUUUCCAUUACCUCGGGGCUCCAUAGCAGUGCAUCAGAAUAAAGGUCUCAAAAAACAAACAAACAAACAAAAAAACCCACCCAAACAACAACAAAACAGGAGACAGCAAAAGAAUAACACACUUCCCACAGAGUCGUCAUCUUCUCCUUAGUCACAGCUGAACAUUUUAGCAUCUGAGAUUUAUUCUCAUUGGAAGUAGCGAGCUCUCUCCUUCCACUGACACAAGAGGAAAGGUCUUAGUCACAAAGUGCUGUGGUGAUUAUUGGGCAGGUAUAAAAGAAGGUGAAAGGCACUCACUGUCAUUACAACUGGAACAUCACAGGAGGUUGGCAAGGAGAGGCAGCUGUGCAGACCGAGACUUCACUGCCAUCACUACGAGACCACCGGUGAAUGAACGACAAGAGAAGGAAAGACUUCUGGUCAUACCUUCAGCUUCUUGUCCUGCUGAUCACAUUUAAAGAGGAGAGAAAAUGUUCCUGCCCCAGAGACCUCUGCAGAUGGUUACAUUUUUGGCGAUCUUUUUUCUUGCCUGUUUUGCAACGCGUCAAAGCACUGAAAAGUAAGCAGUAUCACCCUGUUACUUAAUAUCUUAAGCAGACUGCUUGCUUUUGAUUUAAGAGGCUGUAUUCACUGUAAUUUACUCCAGGCAUAGCAGAAGAAAAAAUGUACACAUUUUAC